rnacentral:rRNA from 1 species
UAGGGAAUCUUCCACAAUGGACGCAAGUCUGAUGGAGCAACGCCGCGUGAGUGAAGAAGGUUUUCGGAUCGUAAAGCUCUGUUGUUGGUGAAGAAAGAUAGUGAGAGUAACCGCUCAUUUUUUGCCGGUAAUCAACCAGAAAGUCACGGCUAACUACGUG